CACGGCGGCACUAGCGCGGUGGUCCCACCUGACCCCAUGCCGAACUCAGAAGUGAAACGCCGUAGCGCCGAUGGUAGUGUGGGGUCUCCCCAUGUGAGUAGGGAACUGCCAGGG
rnacentral:rRNA from 1 species